UACGGGGGGAGCAAGCGUUGUUCGGAUUUACUGGGCGUAAAGGGCGCGUAGGCGGUCAGCACAAGUCAGUUGUGAAAUCUCCGGGCUUAACUCGGAAAGGUCAACUGAUACUGUGCGACUAGAGUGCAGAAGGGGCAACUGGAAUUCUCGGUGUAGCGGUGAAAUGCGUAGAUAUCCGGAGGAACACCAAAGGCGAAGGCAGUGUCCUGGGGAGUACCUGACGCUCAGGUGCGAAAGCCAGGGGAGCGAACGGG
rnacentral:rRNA from 1 species